AUUGAACGCUGGCGGCAGGCCUAACACAUGCAAGUCGAACGAGUGGCGGACGGGUGAGUAAUGUCUGGGAAACUGCCCGAUGGAGGGGGAUAAAUACUGGAAACGGUAGCUAAUACCGCAUACCAUCGGAUGUGCCCAGAGGGGAUUAGCUAGGAGGCGGGGUAAUGGCUCACCUAGGCGACGAUCCCUAGCUGGUCUGAGAGGAUGAUAAUGCACACUGGAACUGAGACACGGCCCAGACUCCUACGGGAGGCAGCAGUGGGGAAUAUUGGACAAGGGGCGAGAGCCUGAUACAGCCAUGCCGCGUGUGUGAAGAAGGUCUGCGGAUUGUAGAGCUCUUUAAGUUGGGAGGCGUUACCAACAGAAUAAGCACCGGCUAACUUCGUGCCAGCAGCCGCGGUAUAC
rnacentral:rRNA from 1 species